GGUUCGAUGGCGUAGUUGCUUGUCGCAUCUAUCUACAUGUCUUGGUCGAUGUCUUCACACAGAAGGUCCCCAGUUCGAGCCUGGGUCAAACCA